AUUGAACGCUGGCGGCAGGCCUAACACAUGCAAGUCGAACGAGUGGCGGACGGGUGAGUAAUGUCUGGGAAACUGCCCGAUGGAGGGGGAUAACUACUGGAAACGGUAGCUAAUACCGCAUACCAUCGGAUGUGCCCAGAUGGGAUUAGCUAGUGGGUGGGGUAACGGCUCACCUAGGCGACGAUCCCUAGCUGGUCUGAGAGGAUGACCAGCCACACGGGAACUGAGACACGGUCCAGACUCCUACGGGAGGAAGCAGUGGGGAAUAUUGGACAAUGGGCGCAAGCCUGAUGCAGCCAUGCCGCGUGUAGGAAGAAGGCCUUCGGGUUGUAAAGUACUUUCAGUGGGGAGGCGUUACCGGAAGAGGAAGCACCGGCUAACUCCGUGCCAGCAGCCGCGGUAAUUC
rnacentral:rRNA from 1 species